CCCCAAUUCGCUGCCUCCUCUUUCCCCGGUCUCCCCCAAUCCCCGCCUCCUCUCCUCCUCCUCAAUCUGUUGCCUCUCCCCCAAGCUGCCGCCUCUCCCCUAGGCCGCCGCCCUCUCUCCUUCUCCCCCGUCUUCGGCCCCGCCCUCGCCAACUCCCAACGCUUUGCCGAGUGGAGAACCAGGAAGGAGGAGGGACGUGAAGUGGAGAAGAGGGGGUGCGAUGGAGAAGGAGCCAAGCCCGCAGGAGAGCACGGAGCUCCGGCGCGCCCUGCCAGUCGCGGCUGCUCGUGGAGCUCCGGCAUGUGCUGCACCAUGGAGGCGCUCGUGGAGGUACUCUCACCUUCGGAACCACCUCGAUCCGUGUCUGGAACCAUCCUGCUCGUCUCCAACUUUUCCAGCUCACCGAUGAGGACCUCGUCUCGGCCUCCUACCAGCCCCAUCCGUUGGAGCACAACGCUGCCUUCUGCCUCCCCAUGCGAGAUCCUUGUUCGGGUUCCUUCCUCUCUUGAUUAAUUUCAUUCUAUUUCAUUUCUAGGGUUUGAUGUCGAGGAGGUUCCUACACCAAUGGUGACAGCGGGCUCUGCUACAGGAAGCAGGGUCUAAUGAUGUACAAUUUGCAGCUGCUGGUUUAAUUGUUCAAAUGGGAGCUUCUGUAGGGGCGUGUCCUCAAUUCCAUUACCUUUCUAGAUUAUUGUUUCGUGGUUGAUGCAAUACUCAGUUUGGUGGUUUCCUUUUGUUUUUGCUGCAGAGGGUGGAAGUUUUAGAAUGGUGCGGACAGGUUGAGAGCAAUAGAUGUUUUUUAAGACCUAGAUUGUUACUACCGAGAAUGGAAUUCAAGAAGAGAUACUUUUGGUCUUAUCUUAUUACCUCUCGUAUCUGAUAGAUAACACAAAGUUAUCAGUUUAGUUGGAAAAAGAAAAAGUCCAGAUCAAUUGUGAGGAUAUGAUCAUUGGCAUACUUACCCCCGGAUGAUGCCUCAUUUCUUCAGAAUUUGAGGCUGUUCUUGAUAUGCCAGAAGUAUGAGUGGGUUGACUUUUCUUGAUGUGUAUUUUAUACAACGAGCAACUACCUUGCGCCGUCUUCCAGCCGCCAACAAUCCCAUGACCCUGCAUCAGGACAAUUUGAUUUUUGGAGGACAAAGGUUAGACAAGGAUGAGAAUGGGAUACCAGAUUACAGCGAUGGAGGCUCGGACAUGGAUCUGCUCAUGCUCUCAGCAGGAAUACUGGAUGUUCUCGAAGCUUUGCCAUACACACAUGCUACUUUUGGCACUUGCGUGGGCUCCAGUUUGUGUCAAUGCAAUUUGCAUCUGUCAGCGGAUUAUGGCGAUCAGGCUUGGUUAUUGGCCUACAGGAACCAGGUGCUAUAAUGCACCAAUGCUGCUUUCUGAUGAUGACGGCAAUGCCAAACGCACCAUCACCUGAGGACCGCCUUCAAGAGAAUGCUGAAGAAUCACAACAAAAACUCCCCCAGUGAUAGUGCCACUCCAUGGGACAUCCAUAUCAAACUGAAACUCAAUUUCCUCGCAUUAGCCAAAGCAUGCCAUCACAUAUUCUUUGUUGUUGUUUUGGAGCUAUUUCAGUAUGGGUCUAUGCGAUUGGCGGGGAUGGAACCAUGAGAGGAGCAGUGGCGAUAUUCAAAGAGUUUAAACGGCAUGGUUUGAGGAUAUCCAUUACAUGGAUCCCAAAAACUGUGGACAUUGGCAUCAUAGACAGGUCGUUUGUGUUUCAAACUGCAGUGGAGAUUACUUAGCAUGCGAUCAACCGGCACAUGUGGAGGCUGUGAGCGCUGUGAAUGGCAUUGGUUUUGUCAAACUUACGGGAAGGAGCACAUGACACAUUACUCUUCAUGCCACCCUGAGCAGCCGAGAUGUUGACUUCUGUGAAUCUUGAGAUUGAUUUCCACGUUGAAGGGAAGGGAAGCCUGUUUGAGUUCCUGUAUGGAAGGAUAAAGAAGAAGGGGCAUAUGUUGUGGUCGUUGUUGCUGAAUGCGCUGAUCAGGAGUUAAUACCCCGGACUGAUGACCCAACAGAGUUAACUUAAUCUGAACCUCCUCUGUUUCCGCUAUAUAUCCCUAUUUUUCUGAACUUAACAACCGAACAGCAUUAUAUAUUAGAUCAGCACACAAGUGAACUGGAAAUCAUUUUAUUCAGAUUGUUGGUACCCUCAGUGUAAAAUUAUUCCUUAUUGGUUGGGGAUUUGGAGACGUAGUAUCUGGUUGAUGAAGGAUUUUUUUAUCUCCUAAGCUCCACACAUUCUCUUCCAUCUAACACAACCGGCACGGUCAAGUGGUGUAGCAGUUGACGGUCGACAGCUAAAAUCAAGGCACCGCCUUAAUUUAGGCGGAAAGACCACAGCUCUUCCAUCUACACCAGAAGGAUUGGGAAAAUAUUAAAUUUGGUGUGAAGACGGUGUUGAUUUCUAUGAUGUUUCGUUCGUGAAGGAUGCCAAUGUUAUUCAUGAACUCAAGGACUUCAGGAAAAGUGCUAAUGCGGAUAUACAUUUCAUUCUUGAAAUCGAGAGGGCUGAUUCAACUCCAAACCCGUGGUCAAUUAUUGCUGCUUCGGAUGGGACCAUACGUGUGGCGUCGACUAAGACCGUAGUCUGAUCAUACAAGGCCUUAUUGAUUGUUGAUUCUACUUCCAUAGUCUGAUAUAUUUGAGGGACAGCCAAGAUCAGGCAAGAGGACGAUGUUUUGAUUGUUUCGACAGAAAUUCUACUGGCUGAAGCUCAAAGACCGAAGCCCCUAUCCCAGUGUUGAAAACUUCAAUCAACCCGUAGCUAAAGCUAGAAUCAAGUAGAGGAGUGGCUACUCUGAAAACUCUUGUUCUGAUCACUUCCAGGUAAUUGUCUAGGAUUCGUAUCGUCCCUUUCCGGCUAUGACGGAUGGUAUACUGCAUACUAAUGAGGAUAGAUGAUUUAUGUUGAUGAACUAUUUUAGAUAGUGACACCGAAGUGUUAUUCUAUGGAUAGCCUUCAGAUGUUCUUUUGCAUUUUUCCUGUGCAAAGAUAUAUAUUAACGAACAAA